GUGGCAUAAUGGUUAAGCUCUUGGCUGCUAACCAAAAGGCUGAUGGUUUGAAUUCAUCC
rnacentral:tRNA from 1 species